rnacentral:rRNA from 1 species
AAAACUUUCAACAACGGAUCUCUUGGUUCUCGCAUCGAUGAAGAACGCARCGAAAUGCGAUAAGUAGUGUGAAUUGCAGAAUUUAGUGAAUCAUCGAAUCUUUGAACGCACAUUGSGCCUCCCUGUAUUCAGGGAGGCAUGCCUGUCCGARUGUCAU